GACGAACGCUGGCGGCGUGCUUAACACAUGCAAGUCGAACGGACAGGCCCUGCUUUUGUGGGUUGCUCGAGUGGCGAACGGGUGAGUAACACGUGAGUAACCUGCCCUUGACUUUGGGAUAACUUCAGGAAACUGCGGCUAAUACCGGAUAGGAGCUCCUGCUGCAUGGUGGUGGUUGGAAAGUUUCGGCGGUUGGGGAUGGACUCGCGGCUUAUCAGCUUGUUGGUGGGGUAGUGGCUGACCAAGGCUUUGACGGGUAGCCGGCCUGAGAGGGUGACCGGCCACAUGGGGACUGAGAUACGGACCAGACUCCUACGGGAGGCAGCAGUGGGGAAUAUUGCACAAUGGGCGGAAGCCUGAUGCAGCAACGCCGCGUGCGGGAUGACGGCCUUCGGGUUGUAAACCGCUUUCGCCGGUGACGAAGCGUGAGUGACGGUAAUGGGUAAAGAAGCACCGGCUAACUACGUG
rnacentral:rRNA from 1 species